rfam:Toxocara canis scaffold1207, whole genome shotgun sequence.
AGCAGCGUGGCGCAGUGGAAGCGUGCUGGGCCCAUAACCCAGAGGUCGGUGGGUCGAAACCAUUCGCUGCUA